UAGUAUCCAAGCAUCAAAAUUGCUUGCACAAACAAAUACCCCAAAGAUAGGGCAGACUCUCGUAAUGAAGAAGGCCUCGAAAUGUAUUGCAUGAGGUAAACAUCCAAAGACCUGCACGAUGACAGCAAUGAUGCUCGAGAGUGUGACAAGGCCCUAUUAUGGCGUCGAAUUCCUGGCCAUCCUUCACAUGAGAGGUACCUAAAAGUUGUGUCGGCAUACUCAUCAAGGCCAAAUGUUUUCAUAGCAACACAAAUGUCAUCACCGUUAAGAGUCUUGCGCCUC